rnacentral:rRNA from 1 species
UACGGAAGGCAGCAGUGGGGAAUAUUGCACAAUGGGCGCAAGCCUGAUGCAGCCAUGCCGCGUGUAUGAAGAAGGCCUUCGGGUUGUAAAGUACUUUCAGUCGUGAGGAAGGUGUUAAGGUUAAUAACCUUAGCAAUUGACGUUAGCGACAGAAGAAGCACCGGCUAACUCCGUGCCAGCAGCCGCGGUAAUACGGAGGGUGCGAGCGUUAAUCGGAAUUACUGGGCGUAAAGGGCACGCAGGCGGUUAAUUAAGUUGGAUGUGAAAUCCCCGGGCUUAACCUGGGAAUGGCAUUCAAGACUGGUUAGCUAGAGUCUUGUAGAGGGGGUAGAAUUCCAUGUGUAGCGGUGAAAUGCGUAGAGAUGUGGAGGAAUACCGGGUGGCGAAGGCGGCCCCUGGGCAAAGGCUGACGCUCAUGUGCGAAAGCGUGGGGAGCAAACGAGGAUUAGAU